GGACUUGUGGGAGAGGGAAGGGGCACGCUUGGAACGUGCCAGAAAGGGCUGGAAUAGCAGGGCCGUGGGCAGGCAUAGGGCCUGCCCUGUGGCUGCAGGUAUAUUAAUAGUUCCUGGGUCCCAGCAGGGCGGUGCCCACAUGCCUUCAGAGCCCGUGUGGGGCAGGAGGGCAGCACCAGGCCCACUGGGAGAGGACGCCUCCAAGUUCCUGCUGAGCCACUCAAUAGCUUAAAAUAUAAGCAGCCCCUCUCCCUGCCGGCCAGCUGCUGGGGGAGGGCUGAAAUCCUACCCCUCUCCCCCAGCCUGGGCACCAGACCAGGGUCCGGGGAGAGUCGGGGGCCCCGACUGGCUGCCGGAGAGGAAGCCGGGUGGCAGGAGGGGUGGCCGGGCAAGGGGCACACUCCCAGCGGCCCGCGCCGGGGUCAGUCCCAAGCUGGAGGACGGGAGCCCGCACCCUCACAGAGGCCUGAUGCCAGCCUAGGGUGGGGACCCAGGGUAGGCCUACGCCAGGUCAGACGGUGUAGGCAGCUGCCAAGCACAGCCCUUAGGCAGGGUUCCUGAGCACAGAAGGGUAGGCAGCAGGCCCAGGCCCCAUCCCUGGGGAGAAGACAGGCCUGGGGAAGGGAGGAGAGGUCAGCCCUCCUAAGGCUGCUGGAGGCAGGUGAAAGGCUGGGAGGGGUGUCACUGGCCGGAGGUCCCAGCCGCUGACCAUAGCUAGGGGGUGUGGCACAGCAGGCUCCGGCACAAUGGAUACAGAGGACAAGGACGGGGCGGACACCCUGGCCUGGGACACGGGAGCACGGCUCUGCGAUGACAGUUCCACUAGCCCGGGAGGAAUUCUCACCCAGGCGCCUGAGAUUCCAGGAUCCGGCCAACAGCAACUCGUGGCACCACGAGGAAGGUGCCAUCAGGCCAAGAAGCUGGAAGAGGCAGGAGACACGGAGCCCUGCAAACACAGGCUGAUGGGAGCAGCAGAAGGAGCCCGUCCAGGAUGACCCCCCCACCUGCGUCCAGCACAUCUGGCCCAGUGCGGCAGGCAGGUUAGUUCACCCCAGAAACUUCCGGAAUCGCCCGCUCUGGGACCCCCAUGGCCAGCUUCAUGCACAGCAACAGCUAACACCUCCCACAUGCUCACAAGGUGCCAGACACAGAGGCACAUUCUCAACACAAAUCACCUUUUACUAUUAAUCCCCUUUUACAGAUGAGGAAACUGAGGCUCAUUCGUUCACCACAUAAAUACUGAUUGAACAUCUACUAACUGCUACAUGUCAGGCACUGUUAAAGGCUCUGGGAAUUCAGCUGUGGAAAGAGAGACAGAAAUCUUUGCCCAUGUGCAGCUGACAUUUUAGCAGGGGGAGGACAAAGACCAUCAAAUAAAGUUGCACAUAACAUUAGAAGAUGUCAUGUGCCAUAGGAAAAGCAGAGCAGGGAAAGGGGACAGGGAGUGGAAGGUGAAGAGGGGGUGUGCAGUUUUAUACAAACUGGUCAAGAAAGGCCUCCUGAGGAGACCUUGGGACAAGCCCUGAAUGCAGUGGAGGAAAGAGCUGUUGAGAAAUCUGGGGAAAGCAUCCAGGCAGAGAAAUGGCCUGUGCAAAGGCCCUGAGGUUCAGCAUUCUUGGUGUGUUCAAGCAACAGUGCAGAGGACUGUGUGGCUGGAGAGAGUGAGCAAGAAGGGGGCUGGGGGGAGGUAACAGGUUGUGCAGGGUCUCACCCUCCAGAUGAAGACUUUGGCUUCUAUUCCCCCCCCGCCUUUUUUUUUUAAUGUUUAUUUUUGAGAGAGAGAAAGACAGAGUGUGAGCAGGGGAGGGGCAGGGAGAGAGGGAGACACAGAAUCCGAAGCAGGCUCCAGGCUCCAAGCUUUCAGCAUAGAGCCUGACGCGGGGCUCAAACACUGACCGUGACAUGGUGACCUGAGCUGAAGUCGGACGCUCAACUGACGAGCCACCCAGGCGCCCCUGGCUUCUAUUCCAAGUGAGGUGAGAGCCCUGGAGGAUUCUGGGCAGAGCAGGGAUAUGACCUGACAAGUUCCUAAAGGAUCCAUCUGGACUACAGGGGAGUAAGGGUGGAAGCAGGGAGCCGAGUAAGAAGCUACGGGAAUAAUUCUGUCAGGAUAAAAGAUGUCUUAGACCAAAGGGUCGGCCAACCAUGGCCCAGAGGCCAAUUCUGGUCCACCGCCUGUUUCUGUACGAACUAAAAUCGUCCUUAUACUUUUAAAUGGUUGGGGAAAAAAUCAGAAGCCUAUUGCGCAGCACAAGGACAUGACGUGAAAUUCAAACCUCAGGAUCCACAAAGCCGUAUCACAGGAACAAGGCCAUGGCUCACUGAUUGUUAAUGUAUCAUCUACGGCUGCUUUGUUUGUUUUUUUUUACAACUAUCGAGUUGAGAAGAUGUCACAGGAGCUAUAUGGCCCACAAAGCCCACGGUAUUUCCCAUCUGGCCCUUCACGGAUAAAGCCUGCCGACCCCUGGCCCGGGCCCAGUGAUGGUGGGGGGCUGAUGACAAGCGGCCGCAUUCCAGCUGUACAGUGAAGGCUGAGCUGCAGGGCUCGCUGACUUGGACAGGAGACGUGAGAGAACAAGCAGAGCCAGAGCCUCGGGGCUGGGUGAUCAGAAGGCUGGAAGUGCCGUUAACUGGAGGGGGGACACGCAGUUUGAGGGCAGUCGAGAGCUCAGGUCGGGACAUUAUUAAGUCUGAAAUGCCCAUUAAACGGCCCCACGGAGAGCCCCAGCUCACUGAGAGACCACACAAGGUGGGGGGGCCGGGGGCGACGUGGAACCUUCACAAGCCUGUUCUGCUGACUGAGAAGUUCCCGUUCAUUCUCCCGGGAAGUGCUUACCGAGCCCCUCGACGUGCUGGGCCCUUGCUAGGGGCUGGGCUUGAUGAAUAGAGAGACCUAUGUGUGACAGUAGUGUGCUGGGCAGUGUUCCCAGUGCUGGGACAGAAUGGUGAGCACAGCUGAGAGAGGCCACGCUCCUCGACCGGUCCUGUUCACACUCAAGGGGAACGUGGGCAAAGCACCUAUCACGUAACAUGAGGUUGGGACAUACCAGGUGCUGUGAAGAGAGCCUGGCAGGGGACCCAGAGCACCAGAGGAAGUGGUCAGGGAAAGCCACUCUAAGGAAGUAUUAUCUGAGCCAUAGCCAGAAAGAAGCCGAAGGGAGGACCGGCCUGAGGCUCCCUGUGGGAAGUGCAAAGGCCCUGAGGCAGCAGUGAGUUUGGCAGUGCUCUGGAACAUCCAGCGGGAACAGAAUGGACUUGAGCAGCUGAGGAGGCUGGAGUGCACGGAGGCCCAGUCCAGCACUUUGGGAAGUCACUGGAGUGCCACCACCUGCUUUGGUUUUGAGAAAGAGCCCUCCCGCUGCCACUGCUGGGAGCAGAAUGGAAGCAGACACAGCAGUGAGUCUCAGAAACAACCCAGGCCAGAGACCUCAGUGGGGCUUGGACUAGGGCAGAGGUGACAAGUGGUAAAAAAGACACUCUAGUUCCUGGAUCCUGAGACACCACUGAUUGAGACCAAGCUGCCAAUUUGGGGGGGGAUGGGGGGGGUCGGGGAGUGGAGAACUUUCUAUAUAAACAUGACAUGUAUAUAUAUCAAUCAUAAGACACAGCCCAACUUAAGGUGAAAACUGCAUUCUGGGAUAGAAGGAGAACACUAACAAGAUAAGAGGAUUUCAGCAGAGGAGGGCAGGGCUUCCGGAAGGUUUAACAGGCCUCCCUGCACCUUUAAAGGGAGAGGUGAAUUAAGAGGUGGCUCUCGCCGUUGACAGAGGGGUCCAGGAAGAUGCCCUCGGCUGUCUUCCCACCUGCAGCAUUACCUGUGAGCAGCACCCUGAGCCCCGCAGGCCUCUCUGGCUCCGCUCAGCCCCUCUGGUCGACAGCAAAACGAAGCGAGGGAAAGGGAACCGAGAGUUUUAUAUGCACGUGCUUCCCCGUGCCUUCUCUCCCCGUGAUGCACGUUCCCAGGCCCAGCCGGGGAGGCUGGCAAUGAGUUCACUUCCAUGUGGCGUCCACGACACCCCGGGUGAGCCGGAAUGUGGCAGAAGAUGCAGCUCCCAGGCCCACUCCUCAGACCGCGCCCGGAGGGGCCUGGCCGGGAACAUUCUUAGGGUCUGGUGAUCGUGGCUUAGCACUACCCACGGGAUCCCCACCUCAUCCGCACAUGAAAACUCAGAGUUCAGGUAACGUUUGGGUCAAAAAGGGGGGGGGGGGAGGGGGAGGGCCAAACUCCAAAGUGCCGAAAGAUGAGCUGUGACCAGCUUCAUGACGGAAAGGCAGGAGCUCAGGGGCAGGACCGCCAGCCCCGAGGGGCAGCCGUGUACCCCACAACCAUGUGAGGGUCCUUCCUCCUCAUCCGACUGCAGUGUCUUUGGGGGUGGGGGGCAUCAGCGAUGCGGCUAACUGCCUGAGCGUGCCCGGUGCCUUGCUCUGCAAGCCACUGUCUCUAACAGACGCGCAGAUGAUCACCCGUUCCGCCAGGGGCCAGGGCUUACAGCGAGCGAGGAGCUCAAACACACAAACUAUCAGAGGGUGCUAAGUGCUGUGCAGAGAACUAAAACCGGAGAGGCGACGGGUGGCAAGUGUGGCCUGAGUGGAUCAGGGUGGGGGGAACCUCUCAAGAGGAGGUGACAUUCAUGCUGAGCCCUGAAUGACGGGAUUCCCAGAUAGGAAGGGCAAAGCCAUCUCUCCUGAAACACUGGUAUUUAGCACAGGGGUUGCAUGACUCAACCCAGCCCUGGGGUGGAUGGUGGACGGUGGAUGGAUCCCCAUCCCCAGCCAGGAGAGUCUGUUAGACUUUAUUCUCUGGUGGAAAUAAUAGUCCACAACA